rnacentral:misc_RNA from 1 species
GAUCGCGGUGGUGCUGUUUGUGCUGCUGUCGCCGGGGCUUCUGUUUCAGCUGCCGGGGCGGAGCCGGUUCGUGGAGUUCGGAAACAUGCAGACUACCGCCAUCUCUAUCCUCGUCCAUGCGAUCAUCUACUUCGCGCUGAUCACAAUUUUUCUCAUCGCGAUCGGAGUCCAUAUUUACACCGGUUAGUUUGAUCUUGUUGUAGAUUUUCUGCUAUCUAAUUAAUGUUGUUGUGGGAACAGAUCGGAUGAAUUAUGUUU